rnacentral:tRNA from 2 species
GCCCUCGUAGCUCAGUGGAUAGAGCGUCUGUCUCCGGAACAGAAGGCCGAAGGUUCGAUUCCUUUCGAGGGCACCA